rnacentral:lncRNA from 1 species
CACACACUGCACCCCAAACACUCAAGUCCCUGUGUAAAUCUUCACUCCUCCAAGCACAGAGGGAAGCCUGCUCCGUAGGCUCUGUUAAGUGUACUGCUGCCGCUGACAUCAUCAUAAAUAGGAAGGGAGAGAGUCCAGGAACCACAGGGCUCACUUCCUAGCCUCUCUAUUUAAGAUUUUCGAGGGCAGAUGGCACUAUAUUUAACCAGCACAAGUAGUAUUCAUUGUGCCCAGGGCCUCUUAAGGAAAACUGAACAAAGUUUUAGAAUGAACCUGCCCUCACCUCACUCCUGCUCAACCAUUUCACCCAACAACAAGUUAGAGGCAGAGAAGAUGAAUAUUAUUAAAAUGAUGCUUCUAAAUCAGGACCUUAUGGGUGCUUUGGCUCUCAACUUUUUUCAUAAAAUAUCUGUCCAGUCCAGACCGAGGAGCCAGCUUCGACAGCAUUCUGGCAUGAUCAUCUUCCUUGUGGAAUUUGGUUCUGAAUCAAGGGCCUCAGAAACCAAGCCCGGUUCUUUUGGUCUGCAGGGAAUGCUGAUGCAGGUAAGCAGCCAAGCCAGGACCCUAGGCCAGAGCUGACUGCAAAGCUCAGAGAACCAUCUGGCUGAAGCACUCAGAGGGCCAUGGCAACAGCCUCCCAUUUGCAGAUGAAGAAACUGAGUCUUGUAAAGCCGAAUGCAACACUGGAGAAAGAAUGUCUGGAAAACUCAGUUAACGGCACAAGAAACACAGCCAAGGGCGGCAGCACUAACUCAGGCUCUCUAGGCUGGUUUGGUGCUCCUCACUAAGGCUAUAAAUACCCCACCCUACAGUUUACACAGCUGCCUCCACUCUGUACAACCCGGGUCUUCACCCUGGGGUUGGAGGUCAGGUUUGCAUAAGCCCGCAGCCAGCGGACGCCUUCUGCAGACUUGAGUGAGCAGCACUGCUCUCCAAAUGACCCCUUUCCUGCCCCUCCCCCUGAAGUCUUGGAAGGAUGAGCCUGGUGUCCUCACCCUCUGUGGAUGAAGAGGGGAGCAGUGGAGGCCCUGGCUUCGUACAGGUAGAUUUUUCUCAUGGGUUUUCCAGCUGAAGCAAGAGCUUCCCUGUGCUUUUGUUCAAGGUCCUUGGAAAGGAGCACCAAUUGUGGAGAGGUUGCAGCCCCCAAAAGGAGCUCUCCUAACCCAGAAGGAGAGGAGGAUGCUGGAGGCUAACAGGGCCACACAUCCCCCAAACAGACCUCUCCUAACCCAGCAGGAGAGGAGGAAGCCAGAGGCUAACAGGGCCAUACAUUCAUUCCCCUCAACUGCCUCAAAGCUUCCAGAAAGUCAGAGAAGGGAAUAUCCAGAGAAGGUGG